rnacentral:tRNA from 1 species
GCCGCGGUGGUCUAGUGGCUAAGGUACCCGGCUGCUGACCUGGAGGUCGCGGGUUCGAUUCCCGGCUGUGGCG